GUGGUCAUUUUGAAAGCACACAUACUAAAAAUUGGAACAACACAGAGAUUAGCAUGGCCCCUGCCUAAGGAUGACAUGAAAGUUCAUGAAAACUUGGAUAUUAAA